AAUCGCGGCAUUUGAGCGGCUGGAUCCCGACGCAGGAGCAGCGGGCGGGUCCCGCCACCCGGCCGGGCCGCGUGCCUAGGGUGGGUCGUGAAGGGAGAAGGAAACGCCCCGGCUAGAAGCGAGGAGGAAAACCAUAGAGCGCGGCCUCAGCGGAGUGCUAGACAGGCACAUUCUCGGGCCCUUCCAGCCGGCCCGUCUCGGUGCUUGCUAGGCGUAAGGCACGCGCGGCCUUCUCAUUGGCCCGGAAGACACCCGCUCCGGACCUGGAGACGCAGGCACGGGGCUGCCGGAGUCGAGCGUCGGGAAGAGCUCACCGCUGCCCGGUCACUGGCCGGCCGGGAGAACCUCGCUUCAAAAUACCUAAGAACAUCAAGAGAGACAAAAGUCAAAUACGUCACUCCACCUUACCUAAGAACAGCAAGACAGUCAUCCGGACAAGAGUGAAUAUAUGAAGGAGGAAGUGGGGGAAUCUGCUGAAGAUGAGGCGACUGAAUCGGAAGAAGACCCUGAAUUUGAUGAAAGAGUUGGAUGCCUUUCCAAAGGUUCCUGAGAGCUAUGUGGAGACUUCAACAAGUGGUGGAACAGUUUCUUUAAUAGCAUUUACAGCUAUGGCUUUAUUAACCAUACUGGAGUUUAUGGUGUAUCGAGACACCUGGAUGAAAUAUGAAUAUGAAGUAGACAAGGAUUUUACUAGUAAAUUAAGAAUCAAUAUAGAUAUUACUGUUGCCAUGAAGUGUCAAUAUGUGGGGGCUGAUGUUUUGGAUUUAGCAGAAACAAUGGUUGCCUCUGCAGAUGGUUUAGUUUAUGAACCGGUAAUAUUUGAUCUCAGUCCCCAGCAAAGAGAGUGGCAGAGGAUGCUGAAGUUAAUUCAGAGUAGGCUGCAGGAAGAACACUCCCUUCAAGAUGUGAUAUUCAAAAGUGCUUUUAAAAGUGCUUCAACAGCACUGCCACCAAGGGAGGAUAAUUCGUUACUGCCUCCAGAUGCAUGUAGAAUUCAUGGUCAUCUCUAUGUCAAUAAAGUGGCAGGAAACUUUCACAUAACUGUGGGCAAGGCAAUUCCCCAUCCCCGAGGCCAUGCACACUUGGCAGCCCUUGUGAGCCACGAUUCAUACAACUUCUCUCAUAGAAUAGAUCACUUGUCUUUUGGCGAGCUCAUUCCAGGAAUUAUUAAUCCUUUGGACGGGACAGAAAAAAUUGCAUCAGAUCACAACCAGAUGUUCCAAUAUUUUAUCACAGUCGUGCCAACAAAACUCCAUACGUAUAAAAUUUCAGCAGAAACUCACCAGUUUUCCGUGACAGAAAGGGAAAGAGUGAUUAACCAUGCAGCUGGCAGCCAUGGGGUAUCAGGGAUAUUCAUGAAAUAUGACAUCAGUUCACUUAUGGUGACAGUAACAGAAGAACACAUGCCCUUUUGGCAGUUCUUAGUAAGACUCUGUGGUAUUAUUGGCGGAAUUUUCUCAACUACAGGCAUUUUACAUGGCAUUGGAAGAUUCCUAGUGGAAAUUAUCUGCUGCCGUUUCAAGCUGGGUUUACACAAACCUACACCUGUCCUACUUCCAGAUGGCCAUAUAAACAACCACUUACCUCUAAGUACAGACAACAGUAUACAUUAGCAUCUCCUUGGGAAACUUUUUUUCUUUCUUUCUGCCUGAUACAGAAGACAGUUUUUAUAAUAAAGAAAACAUUGUGCAAUAUGUUGAGACAGUGCUGAUGGGAAGCAAAAAUCAAGCCUUUUCAAAAAACAGUCUGUGUAAUUUGUCUCUUUUAAGUGCACAUGGAGUCAAAGGAGGACAGGAAGCCCUGUGAAGCCAACCUCUUCUUGAGCUAGCAGAAGCAUUACUGAAGAGAGACAAUAUUUGCAGUGAAACUGAGUGUCUUUGCAAAAACUGCCAUCAGCGCUGAAGUGUCAGUGUAGUGAUCUGGAUUCCAGGCCUGCGAAGUCAGGCAAACACCUACGAAAGCUAACACACAUGCAGAAUGCAGAGAGAGCCCCAUGCAGUGUUCAGCUUGCAGUGCAGCAAGCAAGGGUGGCUGUGAUAAUUGUAGUUUAAGAAGCCAGGAUUUGCUGCUAGUUUUCAGAAAUGAGACAUGAGAUUUUUUUAUUUUUUAUCUUUUAAAUGAGUAGGUAGAGGAGGCUUGGAUACUAUGCUUAUGGAGGUGGGGGGCACUAUUGAAAACCCUGAAAUAGAAGCUGGCUCAGGGACUAAGACAGAGCCAUAGCACUUUCAGCAGUCACUGCCAUUCUCCAGUAGCGCCAUUACCUAUCUACAAGAGGAAAAAAUGCUGCAGAGCAGGGAAUAUGGCAUUUCUCUGUGUCUCUUCUCAGAGCCACUUUUUGCUAACAAUCAGAUUCUCUCUGAGUUUGAGCCAAGGAAUCAGGAAUAGUAAGUCACUGUUGAAAAUGUGUUUGACCGGAAUCGUAUCUGUUUUCCUAUCCCAGGGCUAAACUCGGUCUCCAGAAAGUAAGAAACCACCUCUCUGCUAUGGCUUAGAAAAGAAAUGAAUGUCUUGUGAUUAGGUGGGCCACAACACUGCAUUUCAAGAACAGACUGUCCUCUACCUGCUGCUGGAACAUGAGUUUUGGCAAAUAAAAAACAAGAGAGUAAGAGGAGGGAGAAGAGAUUUGAAGAACAAAUGGCUAAGAACAGCAAAGCAAUUUAUUACUAAAUACUGCAGAAGCAAGUAAACUGUCAGCCAGUGAGUCUGCUGGACCACCCAGGGUAUAGUAAAGACAAUCACCAAGGAACAGAUGAUGGCAGAGAAUUUGAAUAAAUUUCUCUGCAGUAUAGGUGAUGAGAAAGAGUUUAAAUUUACACGUCAUGAAAGUUUUUUGGGGCGGAGGAGGUGGUGGUUGUUUUUUAAGUAAAUGGAGCAUCCCGAGCUUUAUGCUGGAAUACAUUAGUGGAGCUGGUGGUGUUAAGAAACUAAAGAACUAAGUACUAUAGCUGAACUACUGACCAAAACAUGUCAUUAAGAAACUCAACUAUUCCACCAGAGAGUACACAGCGUAUAGGCUGAUUUGCAUCACCCUGAUUUUUGUAGAGUUAAUGCCUCUCUAAAUUGUGAGAAUUAUGUGGAAGAGUAUUAAAUAAAGAGUGGGAAGGGAAGAACCUGUCCAUAAUUUGUUUGGAUGAUUGAAAAAGUCCCAAGUUUAAGGAAACUAGGUCAUCUGAGGACGGAGGUAAAGUUGUUUUUGUUUUUUUUUUCAUAGAUUGAGAUGGGAAACAAAGGUCUUGGCUACCUUGAGCAAGGAAACCAUCACACAGUGACUGAAUUAAGUGGCAUGGUGCUUCAUGUGUCCUUGCAACCAUGUAGUGUAUCCAUGCAGUAAUGCCGUUCUUGAUGGAACAAGUCUAGUGCAUUCACGUGAUUCUUGUAUUGCAACUGUGAUACCAGUGCAUUCCAUCAUAUAGUGCCCAGCACCUUUGCUAGGAGCAGGGGCUUUUGGGGUAACUUCCAGAUAUGAGGCACUGCAUUGUGGGAUGGAGUUAGAGGCAGUUGUACAUUGUAGCUGCCAUGCUUGUUGUUACAUGUCCAUACUGGGGUGAAGCCAUUAUAGUCUGUGCCAGCUCAUCUGGAUCUGAACUGAAGGUUUUGUUCCCAGUGUUACAGCUAAUUAACAUUGCAACCACACCUUGGACAGCUAUUCUGUGUGGAUGCGAGAAGGCACACAAGGGUUGCAAGCCUAUUUCUGUGAUAUAAACUCAGCUGUGAUCCUCUCUGUGUACUACACCAACUCUGGAGGGGUAGUAGUUGUACUGGAGGACUGGACCAAACUCUCAAGUGUCCUGAAGUGGGGCUGAAAGCAAAGAGGAAAGCUUUGGGACUUAAAUAAAUAAAUAAAUAAAAUAAAGCCUUAUAUGUUGUAAGAGGAAAUAGGCAGUGGAAGUACAAAGCAAGGGGAUGUAAAAUUGAGCUGUCACACCCAUGGCAUUUAAGUUCCUUCUUAAUAGUUUUUUAACGCAACCAAGCACUGUCGCUUCUUAAAACAAAUUAGUUCUCAAAUUUUUGUACUGGUGACCCCUUUCACAUGGCAAGCCACCCCCCCCCAUAAAUUAAAAACACUUUUUAAUAUAUUUAACACCAUUGUAAAUGCUGGAGGCAAAACGGGGUUUGGGGUGGAGGCUGACAGCUUGCAACCCCCUAGGUAAUAACCUUGCAACCCCCUGAGGGGUCUGGACCCUCAGUUUGAGAACCCCUGUCUUAGAAGAUAUGAAAUCAAAAUUGUUUGUUUGAUUGGGAGGGAAAGUGUCCAGGGAAAGGUUUGUCUCUGCCUUAAAGUACUCCACGGUGUGAAAAUAUUUGAGAACUGUACUAUGUGCACCUGGUCUUGCCUUGGUAGUUUAUUCCAUAUGUUGUUUUUUUUAUGUAAUGACCUUUCCUUCAAAAUUCAUUUAGUGCUGGCUCCUGCCCUGGUAUUGGGGCCCUGGGAGUAGUUUUGUAUUUUGACAAAACAUCCUUGCACAUAUGUAUUCUACACCCUGCACCCACCCUUAAGAACAUUUUGUGCAUUUUGAAGGAACUCCACUUGCCCCACAAGAAGUCUAGCAUUAUGGCACUUGGCCUUCGGCUUCAGCAGGGGUCAGUGGGGCUUCUGAGUUAGUCAUUGAUGCCAUUUUGUUCAGCAGGACUGGUUAAUCGCUCCUUCUCUUUUCAACCCUGUGGCUCAGUGCUCUGUGUCCAUAGUAUUCCCAGCUUCUGUUGGCCAAGGUGGAAGAUUAUUCUCUUUCAGUGAGGUCUUUUCUCACUCCUGUCAGGUGGUGUGUCUAAUCUUAAAUUCUUUGAGAUGACUACAGUGAGUGGUCUUUGCUGUUUGAAUACAAGAAUCUGCUCUGUGCACAGCAAUGGCUGGCAAUGGAAGAAUUGUUUUCUUAAUCAAGGAGGGAGCUAACCCACAGCUUUGGCUCUGUGUACACCUUUUCUUUUUCACUGGCACCAUUUCAUUCCAGACUCAACACCUGAGGAGCAUGUUAAGAAUUGUGAGUGGUGUAGACCAGUGGUUCUCAACCUUUCCAUUCUACUGUACCCCUUUCAGGAGUCUGAUACGUCGUGUGUACCCCAAGUUUUACCUCACUUAAAAACUACUUGCUUACAAAAUCAGACAUAAAAAUACAGAAGUGUCAGAGCACACAGUUACAGAAAAAUUGCUUAUUUCUCAUUUUUACCAUAUAAUUAUAAAAUAAAUCAAUUGGAAUAUAAAUAUCAUACUUACAUUUCAGUGUAUAGUAUCCAGAGCAGUAUAAACAAGUCAUUGUGUGAAAUUUUAGUUUGUACUGACUUCACUAGUGCUUUUUAUGUAGCCUGUUGUAAAACUAGGCAAAUAUCUAGAUGGGUUGAUGUAUUCCCUGGAAGAUCUCUGUGUACUGCCAGGGCUAUGUGUACCUCUGGUUGAGAACCACUGGUUUGGAGGGCCACAGUAGGUUGACGUAAAGGGUAAUUAUGUAACACAUUUGCUGUUGGUUUGUGUCAAACCUACUUGCACAGCAGCUCCAACACACAACCAAUGCACUUCUGUGCUGAGAGCAUUGGCCAGUGAUCUGCAAGGCUGGGAGAAUGGAACAUGUUUCUAAGUGUCUGAAUGAAAGUCUCAGGGUAAAUAAAAAUGUAAUUGUACCAGCCUUAUGCAUUGACUGUCCAUGGUUGAAAGUCUGCCAGGUGGGGUUAUUUUAUAGUGCAGCCACAUCACUGCUCUAUUAUUUUUUGUAUGUUAUAUAAUGUAUGAGGCAGUUUGAGAUAGAGGAAGAAACUCCAGAAGUCUUAUUCUCUGUUUGCUCAUUGGAAUGACUCUGAUCUCUUUUCAGAGUAGCAGCCGUGUUAGUCUGUAUCUGCAAAAAGAAAAGGAGGACUUGUGGCACCUUAGAGACUUAACAAAUUUAUUUGAGCAUAAGCUUUCGUGAGCUACAGCUCACUUCACCGGAUGAAGUGAGCUGUAACUCACAAAAGCUUAUGCUCAAAUAAAUUUGUUAGUCUCUAAGGUGCCACAAGUCCUCCUUUUCUUUCUGUGAUCUCUGAUGCUGGGAAGAGGUAUGGCUGAAAUUCCCCACAGAGCUCCUGGCAAGUGGCAAAUUGGUGGGGAGGGGUGUUUUUUUUUCCUUCUGCAGCCCUUUGGGGAUCUUUGUUUGAGAGCAUGAAAUGGUGCAAAUGGGUUAAGGUCCAAACUUUGUUUUCACAUUUUUAUUGAUGGACCCUUUUUGUGAAUAAGAGGGAUUUUUUUCCCCAUUCCACCAUCCCCACCUUGUACUCACACAUUCUCAAUAACCAGUUGAAUGAUGUUUUGUAUGACGACACUGCAGCAUAUUGCUGCAUUUCCCAAGACACCUGCAACCUAAUAUUUGAAUAUUUUAUGAGUUUAUCAGAAAAUUGCAGGCCAUGUGCUUCAUUACAGCCUUCUCGUUGACUUCCCACAGGAGGAAGAGAAGGAUUGUGAGGAGAGAAGGAAGUAGCCCAGUCUAAGCCACAAUAUGAGCGUCGCUCUGAUGAUGCGCUCAAUGAUUUGGGACAAGUAACUCCCCCUCUUUGCCUCAGUUUCCCCAUCUGUACAAUGGGGAUAAUGAUACUGACCUACCUCACAGGGCUGUUGUGAGGAUUGAUUAGAUGUUUGUAAAGCACUUGGAAAGUGGAAGCACUACAAAUGCUGUGGAAUUGUUAGAUUUUGGUGAAAGUUUGUGGCCAGGUAUUUGUGUUCUCUUGUUCUCAGACAUCUGGGCAGACUCUGAUCUGGAGCUGCCAUUUGCCUGGUGCUAGAUGGGACUGGCAGUUACUGUCAACUUAAUUUUCACACUUUUUUUUCAAAUCUGCAAAUGCAAAGGAAAUGUACAAUGACCAUUCCCAGUUCCACGUUAUUAUCAGUAUUAUACACAAACAGUGCGCUGUGGAAAUGUGCCCUCUUAUCACACUUUCCAAAAACAGAAGCUGAUAAUAUUUCUGUACCAGGAUUUUAAGUCCAUCAUCUCCUUGGGUAUUUCUGGCUAGAGUGACCUAGCCAGAAAACUGUGUUUUUGAAGUCAUCACUCAUAUUGUAACAACAUUUUUAGGGAUUGGUCCAGGAAAUAAAAGAUUUGCAGGUGUGA